CCUACGGGAGGCAGCAGUGAGGAAUAUUGGUCAAUGGCCGGAAGGCUGAACCAGCCAUGCCGCGUGAAGGUCAGUGCCCUAUGGGCGUUAAACUUCUUUUGUGCGGGAGCAAUAAUGGUCACGUGAGGCCAGACGAGAGUACCGUACGAAUAAGCAUCGGCUAACUCCGUGCCAGCAGCCGCGGUAAUACGGGGGAUGCAAGCGUUAUCCGGAUUUAUUGGGUUUAAAGGGUGCGUAGGCUGUGAGGUAAGUCAGCGGUGAAAUGCCCCCGCUCAACGGGGUGAAGUGCCAUUGAUACUGCCUGGCUGGAAUGCGGAUGCCGUGGGAGGAAUGUGUGGUGUAGCGGUGAAAUGCAUAGAUAUCACACAGAACACCGAUUGCGAAGGCAUCUCACGAAUCCGCGAUUGACGCUGAUGCACGAAAGCGUGGGUAUCAAACAGGAUUAGAUACCCGUGUAGUC
rnacentral:rRNA from 1 species